UACAGAGGUCUCAAGCGUUGUUCGGAUUCAUUGGGCGUAAAGGGUGCGUAGGCGGCGCGGUAAGUCGGGUGUGAAAUCUCGGAGCUUAACUCCGAAACUGCAUUCGAUACUGCCGUGCUUGAGGACUGGAGAGGAGACUGGAAUUACGGUGUAGCGGUGAAAUGCGUAGAUAUCGUAAGGAAGACCAGUGGCGAAGGCGGGUCUCUGGGCAGUAACUGACGCUGGAGGAGCGAAAGCGUGGGGAGCGAACAGG
rnacentral:rRNA from 1 species